CUAUUUGUUCUAGUUUUCUACAACUGUGGUAGCAACGACCCAUAUAUAACAUGAUAAACAUCUGAGAAAUAUUAUUGCAGAAGUGCACAGUUCAAGAUAUAUAUAUGGACCUUCAUUAUAACCCAACUACUUCUCAGGAGUUCAGGCUUUUCGGCUGAAGUCAGAGCAGCAGGGACCCUGCAGGGCUCAUGCACUGAACCCUGCUGUUUGGUUGCUAGGGUUUGGAAAUGCUCCAGCAGGUUUGCUGGGAAGUUUGUGUUUGAUGAAACCUGUAAUCUUAACACUACCUUAGCGAAGACUUUUGUGCGUGUGCACACACACAGAGCUACAUACAGUUCAAAGAUUAAACAAAAGCACAAGGAGUGUUUCUAGCGGGCCAGCAUUACCAUUUACCUGAUUCUAGACAGUACUGGAGGACAGAAUUAUAUUUUAAUUCACAGAGUGAAAACCACCCCAGGACCUGCACAAGAUCAUACGUGAUGGACACACAAGGACUCUGCAUAGGUGCAAAUCUUAACCCUAUAAUUUCCUAGCUCUGCUUUUAGGCGUAAUAAGCUAAAUAAAGUUAAAUAAGCUAUUUAUUUCAUGUACUUUUCAAGAAUAGGGGCUAAACGGUGACCAAGGCCCCAAUCCUAUAGAUACUUAUGAUUGGAGGUAGUGUUUACUACUGUGUGUAAUCUCCAUUGAAGUCAAUAGAAGUAUUCUCAGCUGUAAGAACUAUGCUCAGUAACAGUUUUCAGGGUCAAGCCCUAAGUCUGUCUAUAUCUAUUUUUUUUUCUAGAUUUGAAUUUCUUUUUACAAAAAAGCUAGAGAACAAACCAAAAACAAACCAACCAACCAAUCUGAUCUCAGAGGUGCAGUCUAGACACAGUCACUAACAACAACAGAGAAGAGGAAACCUCUCCUUCUACUCCUGCUCUUGAGUUUGUGGUUUCCAGCAGAGCAAUACAAGGGCCCUCUCUGGAUUUAACCCCACCUAUGCAAUUCUUUUAAGUAAUUAAAAAUAACUCUCCAGAAUUCCCUGACAAUAUGCCCAAACCUCCUACUUAGCCGCUGAACACCCAGCAAUAUUCCCUUCUCACGCAUCCCAUCUGAUGCAAUCCCCUGGGCGGGGGAGGACAUCUGGAAUAUUUGGAGUCUCAGAAUGGAGUCACUCACAGAUGUAGAAUUUAUUUUUGCCGUGACAUGUGUAGCCAGACUUUCCAUUCCAUAGGACUGAACUCUGUGGGUCAAAGGCAACAUAUAACUGUUGAUAGUGGGGGGGGGGGUAUGUGUGCACAGUUUAAAGUUUAUGGGGGGGCAUGUGACUGCCCCACGUGUUGCCUCUGGAUCUAGAACAGAGGUUUUCAAACCAUGUGGGGCACACGCCCUCCUAGGGGGUUGCGGAGGAAUGUUCAGGGGUGGGGAUAAGGGCAACACCAGGCAGCUCACGCCAGCCCUGCAGCGGGGCUCGGGGAGGGAGCACCACCUCACCCCUGACUUACCUCAGGGGGCCACCCAGCGUGUUUGGGCGGGGGGAGGGAUGCAGCCAAAAAACCUGUGGGGCACAUGACCCCGCAUGUCCUGCCCACGCAUCAUCUCUGCUGUAUCUCUCUACUAGUAUUAUAACAAUGGUGCCAGACGCGAACUACUCCAUUUUGAAUGAAUGGUCUCAUUCCACAGAGCCUCUUCAAUAUCGAUAGAUGAUCCACAAUAAUGCUCAGAAGUAGAAAGCUGAUUCAGAGCCCUAGAAGUUAUACAGCCUACUGAGAACGUUACCGUCUCUUCUGGAAGGCAACAUUUGCAAUCUGAUUUACUGAGCCACUGUGCAGCUUUCCUAUGAAUACAGCCAAUAACUAUGCAGAGGAGUAUUUUGCUGGAUAAGACUAAUGAGGCCCUAUGCAUUUCUUACCUCAUUACAUGAUGGCUCGAAGGAACGAGCAACAUCGCACUCGCACAGUUCACAUCCAGUUCCACUGGCCAGUCUCCAAGUGUUUGGUGCACAGCGAUCGCAGUUCUGCCCGGUCACAUUCGGAAGGCAUUGGCACUGACCGGUUGUUUUCUCACACUGACAGUCUUCUGAGCUAUUGCAGUGCUCUCGCACUGUUCCCAAGUAGUUACAGACGCACUCUGUAAUGGAAGAGCAGGCAGCCUAACUCUGCUAUGCUAGCACAAUGCCACAUUAAAUUGAGUCCAAACCUAAAUGUCGGUUACUGAUGUAUUACCAAAAGAGGAUGUAUUACUCAUUCCAGGGAGAUGUGAUCCUAUUCAAAUGGGGAAAGUUACACAGACAUCCCUACUGGCAUGUCUUGACAUUGUAAGUUACUUAGGCUAUGACUACACUGGCAAUUGAAUGACAAAACUUGUCUUUAAGGAGGUGUUAAACCCCCCACUUCCCCGAAAGACAAAAGUUUUGCUGCAACAAGUGCCAGUGUGAACAGUGCGUUGUCAGCAGAAGAGCAAAAACGCCGCUCGUUGGAGGUGGAAGUUCUUUGUCGGCAGGAGAGCCGACAAACAGCAGCUACACUGCACAACUUUUAGUGGCACGGCUGCAGCGACACAGCCCUGUCUCUAAAAGCUGUGUAGUGUAGACACAGCCUUAGAAAACAGAUGGUUUGGGAGGAAAAACCUAAUGAAGCAUCCUUUAAAGCCUGUCCGGGUACAUGUGCCAUGGUGACAAGUGCAGUAUAAAUACCCAGUAUGGUAAACUGCCUUCUCAUUCAAAUGCCUCUAUUAAUUUUUCAGAACUUAUGCUGCAAGUUAUUAACCUUGCAAAGAUGCAGACGGAUCUCAGAGUAUUGCUACAUUGGUUUCCAAGUUAAUUUGAGCAAUCGUGUAACUAAGGCUUAAUCUUGUGAAGUGCUCCUAUAAUAUGCACAGUAGGUGACUUGAGGAUUCCUAACAUCUUGCAGGACUAGGACUACAUAUAAUAAGCAGAUAAAGGGAGUCUUUAAAGCACAGUAAUACUCUGAAAAGUGAAUUUUGUAAGAAGGGGAACACCAUGGGGUUCCAGGUUAAUUGUCUUUCAUAUAAAAUGUGCUCUCCUUACAAAGUGGAAGAGAUUAUUAGUUUCCUGCAAACACACCCUGGGAUCUGCAAGUCAGGCUGGAUUCUUUCUGGUUCCCACAUAACCAUCAGAAACAGACUUUGCAACACAGAUCUCUAAAAAUUCGGGGGAUGGUAUGUGACCCACAAUAGAACUCAGCUCCCUCCCUCCCUCCCGGAGAUGUUUGCUCUGCUAAUAGAAAUAGUAAAAAAAAGAGAGAAAAAAACACUUUUUUCUGACUAACUUUCUGGAUAAGCACAGAGUAGCAUUCUGGAGUAAGAGAUUCCCUUUUUAAAAAACACAGAACAACACACCAUUAUGUGACUAUAGCCCCACUUAACACUUAUCAUUCCCUGAGGCAGCCCUUCCUUCUGAGCUUUCAGGAACCCACUCCUGCUGUUCUUUAACAUCCCAGGAAUGUUUGUGUAAACAAAAGCCAUGUCUUCAGGGCUUAAGAAGCAGCAGGAAAUGGCCAUGCUCCAUCUCUUGAUAAGAGGGAAACAAUGAAUGCUCACAAGAAGGCAAGAAAUCCUUAUCCCACAAGAGCCCAUCCUUUCAGAUGUUUGGACACGUAAAUGAUAGGUGUCUCGUUUCUCCCUGUUACACUAAACGACUCCUGCCCCCUGAAGAAUCACACUGAACACAAGAAAAGCUGCAAACCCAAUGUUUAGCCAGAGGUAAUUAGGUUUCUACCAUCAGUUUAAUCAGAAAUGGUUCCUGGUAAAUUUAAAAUACUCUAGGUUAUCUGCCAUUCUCCAUUAAUGUCCUGAGGCCACCUGCAAAAUCAACAGCUUCACAGUUUAUUAUGCCUAAUGAUAUAGAGUUUAGUGUAGGUAAAUGAAUUCUGGCCAGUGCUAUAGAAGUGAGGAAUAGGAAGACCCCUCCCCCCCCCCCACUUACUUCUACAAUCCUGUUGCAAUGCAUGUCCAUAGUACCCAUAUUUACACAGCUGGCAAUUUUCACCCUCUGUCUGAUACAAGCACUUCAGGCACUUUCCAGACUGCUUGUCACAGGCCCCUGGGUCAGUCAUGUCAAUGUUGUUGUUACACUGGC